UGAUUUUCAAACAGAAUCUAAGAAAAUGUCUGGUGAAUUUAGUCAGAGGAGGAGCCAUGCUGACAUCACAGCUGAAGGACCACCCACAGACUUUACAUUUUAAGCUGAGAGCAGAUCCUUCAGUGGUUCUUUGGCGUUUGGAGAGAACUGCUCUUUCUUUGAAGGGCAGGCCAUGGAGGAGCUCUGGCCACGCCCAACUCCUGACCUCAGCCACAGCCACACCCCUUCCAUGACACUUCCUACAUAUACUUGUACAGCUGGACAACAAAAGAUGGCCAUUCACUUAGGGACCCGAUACUCUGCAAGGAGAAGAAGCUCUGUGAGUUU